AGAGCCAUGGAAGACUGAUGAUUUGGACCACAUGGUGGAACAAGAUAGACCUCUGCAUCAGGGGCUAUUCUGUGCAGUUGUACAUAUCUAUAUUCCCAAUAUUGUUGAAUGUAGUACUUUGAGCAAGCUCCUUCACCCAUCGAAAUAAUGCCUGACAUCAUGGGGUCCUUCUCAGAUGUGUCUUAAAUUGGACCAAAAAGAAGAGGCAAUAUUUGGCAUCUU